rnacentral:rRNA from 1 species
AUACGGAGGGGGCUAGCGUUGUUCGGAUUUACUGGGCGUAAAGCGCACGUAGGCGGUUUAUCAAGUUAGGCGUGAAAGCCCCGGGCUCAACCCGGGAACUGCGCUUAUUACUGAUAGACUAGAGAGCGGGAGAGGGUAGCGGAAUUCCCAGUGUAGAGGUGAAAUUCGUAGAUAUUGGGAAGAACACCAGUUGCGAAGGCGGCUACCUGGACCGGUACUGACGCUGAGGUGCGAAAGCGUGGGGAGCAAACAGGAUUAGAAACCCGAGUAGUCC